rnacentral:rRNA from 1 species
UCGAGAAUCUUUCACAAUGGGGGCAACCCUGAUGGAGCGACGCCGCGUGGAGGAUAAGGUCUUCGGAUUGUAAACUCCUGUCAUGCGAGAGUAAGGCCCAUGCGUUAACUGCGCGUGGGAUUGACAGUACCGCAAGAGGAAGAGACGGCU